CCGGCCUGCUGGGGUCGUGUGCUUCCCCGGCCCCGCAGGUCGCGGACCCCUCGCGCGCUGCCCGGGGCUCCAACGUGCCCCCUGAAGCGACCCCGCUCUGCUGCCCCGGGGCGCGCGCCGCGCGGGGCCGGGUCUUGUGUCUUUCCGGGGAGGUCCCGGUGAGCCGCUGCCCCUGGGCGCCUCGUGCCGCCGCGGGGCAGGGACCGCAGGCGCCGGCGGCGUCAACUUCCUAGGACGGCACGUGCCACGCCAGGUGCCUUUCCCUCCAGGUCCCCGAGUCCGCGAGGCCCAGCUGCCCGCACCCCCGGCCGACGCGGGGCACUCGGACGGGGCCCUGGGGUCCCGAGCCGCCUGAGAGCGACGCCUCGCCUCGGAAUGGCUCUUCUCAUGUGGUUGCUCUGAUGAAGCAGGAGAGAUCCAAGUGGCAGCGAACUCAGGUGGCUCCUGCCAUCUGUCAGCAAGGAUCUGAGGCACUUACUCCAGAAGCUCCCGAGGUGCUGGAUGCUUCAAACACCAGAGGCAUGAGCUUGGAAGUGAAUCCUUUGUCAGCUGAACUUUCAGAUGAGACCACAGGCUCGCCUGCCACUUCACAACCUGUAAGAGACUCUGAACAGAGGAGCCAGGGGAGCUAUGCCUGGAUUCCUGAUCCCUGGAAACUGCGAGCUGGCAGUGGCUAUCCUGGGAGCCAGGGACAUCGGGAUCAUGUCAGAAAGACCUUGGAAUGUUCUCAGGGAUGAAGCUGAGGGUCAGAAGCAGCAAAAGAAAUGCCCCCUUGGUCUCCUUCCCAUCACGGUUUCCUGAAGACACCUGUGUUCAGAAGGAAGGCAGGCAGAAGUCCGAAGCUGAAUCGAGGUGCUGCCUCCGUUUCCCGGGACAGUCACGGACUCCUGAAGGUUGUGUUCUCUGUGUUUGGGCCAUCACCACAGUGGCCUCCCUCUGGAUGCUUGACCCACGCUCUCGGGCGGGCAGCAUAUCUGCGACCACCCGUGGCCCCGGUGAGAGCUGCUCAGGAGGCUGGCGCCUUUCAUUUCCUUGUAACAAUAGUGCUGGAAAAUAGCUUUCUGGACUUGGCCCCAAACUGAUAAUUAAAGGAACGCUUUAUCGCCAGCAAGGGCAGAAGCGUCUACCAAUGGCCUUUCAGAAAAAGUAAAAAAAUAAAAAUAGCCUCACUCCCUUCA